GCUCCAUUAGCUCAAUGGUAGAGCGCCCUGUUCAUGAAAGCAUAAUAAUUGUGCUUUGAUGAGCAGGGGAGGAUUGCGGUUCGAGUCCGUAAUGGAGCU
rnacentral:tRNA from 2 species